rnacentral:lncRNA from 1 species
GGCGCCAUUGCCUCCAGCCCCGAGCCACCAUUGUUUCCAGUGCCAAAUCGGGCAGCCCCGCUAGCCUCCGAGGCCGAACCGCCAGGGGCCCCAUAAGCCCCGAGGAGGCUCGUCGGGAACCGCUUCCUUAUCCUCUCGGUAUGCGCAUCGCCACCACCCUCGCUGCAGAGGCCGCCGCCCUCCCAGCGCGCCAUCACCGCCUCCUCUGCCUCUUCCCCUCCCUCAGCCCCGGCCCCUGCAUUGACUUGGCUCGGGCUGCGCCUCACUGCGCCUGCCAGCUGUCACACGCUCUGAGGCUUUCAACAGCGGGGCGCCAGGGACAAACAAGCCGCGGCAAGCGCAAACAGCCUGCUCAAACAGGGACGGCCAGGGUGUUGUUUGACCAGCACUGGAAUUGGAAACUAGGUUUCGAAGAAGUCAAAUCGAAGUACAAUAUUGUAUUUUAAACUGCCUGUUGUUAUUACAUCCCUCACAACGCACGCUCUACUUGAAACUUCCAGUGGAUACCAACUGCACUUAGAAUAAAAAAUGAAACUCCUUGCCUAGCUCUGGGACCUCAUCAGCACAUACUCACCAUGUUUUGGUCACAAAGGCCUUCAUGCUGUUCCCGGAAGUCGCCAAGUUCCAUCCAUCAUUGUUAAUAAUUCCUUUUGCUCGCUCCUCGCACAAGAACUGUUUCUUCUGCUUAGUGCUUUGCCUACUGAUUCCAUCUUGUCAUUUAAGUCUCGGCUCACAUGUCACCUCUGCAAAGAACCCUUGCCUGACCAUACAUCUAAAAUAGCCACAAACACUCUAUAAAGACUUGGCCUUGCUUUAUUUCCUUCUCAGCACUCAUCACUGUCUGAAACAAUGUUUUGGAUUUGUUGCUUAUUAUCAGUCUCCCUUCUCAAGAAUGCAAGCUUUGUGAGAGCAGAGUCGUAAUCUUUUUUAAGGCUGUAUCCCCAAUGCCUGGAUUGCCCAACACUUGCUUCAUGCUUCAAGCACAUCAGGGUGCUUUCCACUUCUGGAUGAGCCAAGUGUUUCCUCAGCUUUUCUGCACCUUCCUCUCCAUUGACCUAGAGUGUCUAUGGAACACUCAGAGUGUCCCCUGUGUAAACCACCUACCACAAGAUUAUCAACUUCAGGCGAUGGGCCACGCACCAGGAUUCCACCUCUUUCUAGCACCUAUCAGUGUUGCGCACAUCACAGGCCCUCAACAAACAGGCAGCCACGCUGGGGGAUCC